rnacentral:rRNA from 1 species
AGAGUUUGAUCCUGGCUCAGGAUGAACGCUAGCGGCAGGCUUAAUACAUGCAAGUCGAACGGGAUUCGGGGUAGCAAUACUUUGAUGAGAGUGGCGCACGGGUGCGUAACGCGUAUGCAACCUACCUUUAACAGGGGAAUAGCCCCGAGAAAUCGGGAUUAAUACUCCGUAACAUUGCGGUGUGGCAUCACACUGCACUUAAAGCUGAGGCGGUUAAAGAUGGGCAUGCGUGACAUUAGCUAGUUGGUGAGGUAACGGCUCACCAAGGCAACGAUGUCUAGGGGUCCUGAGAGGGUUAUCCCCCACACUGGUACUGAGACACGGACCAGACUCCUACGGGAGGCAGCAGUAAGGAAUAUUGGUCAAUGGGCGCAAGCCUGAACCAGCCAUGCCGCGUGCAGGAAGACGGCCCUAUGGGUUGUAAACUGCUUUUGUCAGGGAAUAAACCCCCGCUCGUGAGUGGGGCUGAAGGUACCUGAAGAAUAAGCAUCGGCUAACUCCGUGCCAGCAGCCGCGGUAAUACGGAGGAUGCAAGCGUUAUCCGGAUUCAUUGGGUUUAAAGGGUGCGCAGGCGGAUUGGUAAGUCAGGGGUGAAAUCCCACAGCUCAACUGUGGAACUGCCUUUGAUACUGUCAGUCUAGAGUAUAGUUGAAGUUGGCGGAAUGUGUCAUGUAGCGGUGAAAUGCUUAGAUAUGACACAGAACACCGAUCGCGAAGGCAGCUAGCUAAGCUAUAACUGACGCUCAUGCACGAAAGCGUGGGGAUCAAACAGGAUUAGAUACCCUGGUAGUCCACGCUGUAAACGAUGAUUACUCGAUGUUGGGCGAUACACAGUCAGCGUCUGAGCGAAAGCAAU